rnacentral:lncRNA from 1 species
AAUGAAAACCUUUCCUAAAGAGUGAAAUUUCCGUUCUUCUAUGAAAACUGGCAUCAAAUAUGUCUGCACAGCAACUGGAUUCAUUUGCUCUUCCCCUUCUUGGCACUAUUUAUUUUCCACUGAGCUUGGCUGUUUUGUGGAGAAUUCACUUUGAAAUCCACCCCUGGGGCACUGAAGCAUCCUUCACUGGAAGCAGAAGUUUCACACUGAAUAUCUUCCUGCCCCCUGCAUGGGGACCAGUGGUCAGACUAACAAAGACUCUCCAGAACUGCCUAGUAUCAUCAAGAGAAGGAAUCAGGAACCCAUUUUCCUCAAUCUCCUUGGCAAAAAGGAAAAGAAAUGGGUAAGGACCAAUUCUUCAAGAAUCCUGAGGCAGCCCAUUCACUGGAACAAGAAAAUAUAUACCCAGAAGGUUAGAAGGUUCAAACAGUCUCCCUGAAGCCAUGCUCAGCCUCUUGACCUUCCAAAUGAAGACGUGUAGGCACUUGACAUUGUGUCUUUGCGGG